rnacentral:rRNA from 1 species
UACGUAGGGGGCAAGCGUUGUCCGGAUUUAUUGGGCGUAAAGAGCGUGUAGGCGGCCUUACAGGUCAGCUGUGAAAAACUCGAGGCUCAACCUCGAGAGGUCGGUUGAAACCGUAAGGCUAGAGUCCGGAAGAGGAGAGUGGAAUUCCUGGUGUAGCGGUGAAAAUGCGCAGAUAUCAGGAGGAACACCUGCGGCGAAGGCGGGUACU